GGGGAAUAUUGCACAAUGGGGGAAACCCUGAUGCAGCGACGCCGCGUGGAGGAAGAAGGUCUUCGGAUUGUAAACUCCUGUUGUUGGGGAAGAUAAUGACGGUACCCAACAAGGAAGUGACGGCUAACUACGUGCCAGCAGCCGCGGUAAAACGUAGGUCACAAGCGUUGUCCGGAAUUACUGGGUGUAAAGGGAGCGCAGGCGGGAAGACAAGUUGGAAGUGAAAUCUAUGGGUUCAACCCAUAAACUGCUUUCAAAACUGUUUUUCUUGAGUAGUGCAGAGGUAGGCGGAAUUCCCGGUGUAGCGGUGGAAUGCGUAGAUAUCGGGAGGAACACCAGUGGCGAAGGCGGCCUACUGGGCACCAACUGACGCUGAGGCUCGAAAGUGUGGGUAGCAAACAGGAUUAGAUACCCUGGUAGUCCACACCGUAAACGAUGAUUACUAGGUGUUGGAGGAUUGACCCCUUCAGUGCCGCAGUUAACACAAUAAGUAAUCCACCUGGGGAGUACGACCGCAAGGUUGAAACUCAAAGGAAUUGACGGGGGCCCGCACAAGCAGUGGAGUAUGUGGUUUAAUUCGACGCAACGCGAAGAACCUUACCAAGUCUUGACAUCCCUUGACAGGCAUAGAAAUAUGUUUUCUCUUCGGAGCAAGGAGACAGGUGGUGCAUGGUUGUCGUCAGCUCGUGUCGUGAGAUGUUGGGUUAAGUCCCGCAACGAGCGCAACCCUUAUGGUCAGUUACUACGCAAGAGGACUCUGGCCAGACUGCCGUUGACAAAACGGAGGAAGGUGGGGAUGACGUCAAAUCAUCAUGCCCUUUAUGACUUGGGCUACACACGUACUACAAUGGCGUUAAACAAAGAGAAGCAAGACCGCGAGGUGGAGCAAAACUCAGAAACAACGUCCCAGUUCGGACUGCAGGCUGCAACUCGCCUGCACGAAGUCGGAAUUGCUAGUAAUCGUGGAUCAGCAUGCCACGGUGAAUACGUUCCCG
rnacentral:rRNA from 1 species